UAAUACGUAGGGUGCGAGCGUUAAUCGGAAUUACUGGGCGUAAAGCGUGCGCAGGCGGUCUUGUAAGACAGUCGUGAAAGCCCCGGGCUUAACCUGGGAACUGCGAUUGUGACUGCAAGGCUAGAGUGUGUCAGAGGGGGGUGGAAUUCCACGUGUAGCAGUGAAAUGCGUAGAGAUGUGGAGGAACACCGAUGGCGAAGGCAGCCCCCUGGGAUGACACUGACGCUCAUGCACGAAAGCGUGGGGAGCAAACAGG
rnacentral:rRNA from 1 species